CCUACGGGAGGCAGCAGUGGGGAAUUUUGGACAAUGGGCGCAAGCCUGAUCCAGCAAUGCCGCGUGCAGGAAGAAGGCCUUCGGGUUGUAAACUCUUUUGUCAGGGAAGAAAUCUUCUGGGCUAAUACCCCGGGAGGAUGACGGUACCUGAAGAAUAAGCACCGGCUAACUACGUGCCAGCAGCCGCGGUAAUACGUAGGGUGCGAGCGUUAAUCGGAAUUACUGGGCGUAAAGCGUGCGCAGGCGGUUAUGUAAGACAGAUGUGAAAUCCCCGGGCUCAACCUGGGAACUGCAUUUGUGACUGCAUGACUGGAGUGCGGCAGAGGGGGAUGGAAUUCCGCGUGUAGCAGUGAAAUGCGUAGAUAUGCGGAGGAACACCGAUGGCGAAGGCAAUCCCCUGGGCCUGCACUGACGCUCAUGCACGAAAGCGUGGGGAGCAAACAGGAUUAGAUACCCUGGUAGUCCACGCCCUAAACGAUGUCAACUGGUUGUUGGACGGCUUGCUGUUCAGUAAGCGAAGCUAACGCGUGAAGUUGACCGCCUGGGGAGUACGGCCGCAAGGUUGAAACUCAAA
rnacentral:rRNA from 1 species